rnacentral:rRNA from 1 species
GUCCACACUGUAAACGAUGGACACUAGAUGUUGGACCGCAAGGUUCAGCGUCGUAGCUAACGCAAUAAGUGUCCCACCUGGGAAGUACGGCCGCAAGGUUGAAACUCAAAGGAAUUGACGGGGGCCCGCACAAGCGGUGGAGUAUGUGGUUUAAUUCGAUGCAACGCGAAGAACCUUACCUGGGCUUGACAUGCUGGUUAUCAACCUGAAAGGGAAGAGACCCCUCAAAGGAGCCAGCACAGGUGCUGCAUGGCUGUCGU